AGAGUUUGAUCCUGGCUCAGGAUAAACGCUGGCGGCGUGCCUAACACAUGCAAGUCGAACGCCCUUACGCAAGUAAGGGAGUGGCGGACGGGUGAGUAACACGUGGGUUAUCUGCCUUUCGGUGAGGAAUACCGGCGAGAAAUCGCCGACAAAACCGCAUGAGUUCCGGGAACGGAAGAAAGUCGUAAGACGCCGAAAGA
rnacentral:rRNA from 1 species